rnacentral:tRNA from 1 species
GAGGGUACAGCUUAGUGGUAGAAUGCAUGCCUCGCAGGCAUGAGGUCCUGGGUUCAAUCCCCAGUACCUCCA